rnacentral:rRNA from 1 species
CCUACGGGAGGCUGCAGUGGGGAAUAUUGGACAAUGGGGGGAACCCUGAUCCAGCCAUGCCGCGUGUGUGAAGAAGGCCCUCGGGUUGUAAAGCACUUUCAGUGAGGAAGAACGCCUGGUGGUUAAUACCCAUCAGGAAAGACAUCACUCACAGAAGAAGCACCGGCUAACUCCGUGCCAGCAGCCGCGGUAAUACGGAGGGUGCGAGCGUUAAUCGGAAUUACUGGGCGUAAAGCGCGCGUAGGUGGCUUGAUAAGCCGGUUGUGAAAGCCCCGGGCUCAACCUGGGAACGGCAUCCGGAACUGUCAAGCUAGAGUGCAGGAGAGGAAGGUAGAAUUCCCGGUGUAGCGGUGAAAUGCGUAGAGCUCGGGAGGAAUACCAGUGGCGAAGGAGGCCUUCUGGACUGACACUGACACUGAGGUGCGAAAGCGUGGGUAGCAAACAGGAUUAGAUACCCCUGUAGUC